rnacentral:ribozyme from 12 species
AUGAAGAAGAGGAACAAGAAGAAGUUGAAAAAUCGUUAUCGGAAGAGGAGAUCAAGCUUUUUUUGCCUGGUCCCUCUCUCUUUGUUUUCUUCAUUUUCUUCUCAGUCUGUUUA